rnacentral:rRNA from 1 species
CUACGUGCCAGCAGCCGCGGUAAUACGGAGGGUGCGAGCGUUAAUCGGAAUAACUGGGCGUAAAGGGCACGCAGGCGGUUAUUUAAGUGAGGUGUGAAAGCCCCGGGCUUAACCUGGGAAUUGCAUUUCAGACUGGGUAACUAGAGUACUUUAGGGAGGGGUAGAAUUCCACGUGUAGCGGUGAAAUGCGUAGAGAUGUGGAGGAAUACCGAAGGCGAAGGCAGCCCCUUGGGAAUGUACUGACGCUCAUGUGCGAAAGCGUGGGGAGCAAACAGGAUUAGAUACCCUGGUAGUCCACGCUGUAAACGCUGUCGAUUUGGGGGUUGGGGUUUAACUCUGGCGCCCGUAGCUAACGUGAUAAAUCGACCGCCUGGGGAGUACGGCCGCAAGGUUAAAACUCAAAUGAAUUGACGGGGGCCCGCACAAGCGGUGGAGCAUGUGGUUUAAUUCGAUGCAACGCGAAGAACCUUACCUACUCUUGACAUCC